UAUGCGGCAUGUGACGUCAAAAGAGAAUCGAAAUCGUUUCUACUUUCGAAAGUAUGACAACCAAGUAAGUCGAUGGCAAGGUAUAUCUGGGAUGGCAGUGCUACUCCGGACUGAGCUGUGGGACCAAGGCAUUGGAAUGUGUGGAAAGGGAUUGCUGGCAUUUUUAAUAGGCUUUCGCUACUUCUGGAACGAAGAUAAUAUGUGGAUCUCGGUGGUGUAGAGUCUGGUUUGGAGUCACAAGUCUAUAGAGGACUAACAACCUGAAGUGGGCCAGUGUGCUAAAUAAAAAAAAGGAAAAUGAAAAUUGUUCUUAAACCCCUUCAGGAUUUUUUUCAUGUAUGCUCAUAAUAACACCAUCUGACAAAGCUGAAUAAAUUGCAUCCGACUUGACUUUUCGAAACGAGGCCAAUAACACAAUGAAUAUUAGAAAAAAGCGCUCUUCUGUACACGACGGACGAUCAAGGCUGAUUCAACGCGUCCUUCAAAACAAUUGAUCGCUGCUUUAUUACACUAGAAAGGUGCGGGGUCACCGAAACGUACGCAGCCAUAAUUAUUUGAAAGAUAAUAGCAUGUACAACUUCUAGGAUGUCGGCGAAAGAUUCGUGGGCAGAAAAUGAUAGCAAACACCAUAGCAGCUCAUAGCCAAUUUUAUUAUAUGUUUUAUGUACAGAUUUUAAAAAAAUACGAAGUAAAUGAAACUGAAUUUGAAUAUGUUAAAUUGUUAUACGUUUGUGCAUUAAAACACA